rnacentral:rRNA from 1 species
UACGGAGGGAGCUAGCGUUGUCCGGAAUUAUUGGGCGUAAAGAGCUCGUAGGCGGUCUGUCGCGUCUGCUGUGAAAACUCAGGGCUUAACCCUGAGCUUGCAGUGGGUACGGGCAGACUAGAGUGCGGUAGGGGAGACUGGAAUUCCUGGUGUAGCGGUGAAAUGCGCAGAUAUCAGGAGGAACACCGGUGGCGAAGGCGGGUCUCUGGGCCGUAACUGACGCUGAGGAGCGAAAGCAUGGGGAGCGAACAGG